UACAGAGGUGGCAAACGUUGUCCGGAUUUAUUGGGUGUAAAGGGCAUGUAGGUGGUCUUGUAAGUCAAAGGUGAAAUGGCUCGGCUCAACCGAGUCAUUGCCUUUGAAACUGCCGGACUUGAGUACGGAAGAGGAGAGCGGAAUUCCCAGUGUAGCGGUGAAAUGCGUAGAUAUUGGGAGGAACACCGGUGGCGAAAGCGGCUCUCUGGUCCGAAACUGACACUGAGAUGCGAAAGCCAGGGGAGCAAAC
rnacentral:rRNA from 1 species